CCUACGGGAGGCAGCAGUAGGGAAUAUUGCUCAAUGGGGGAAACCCUGAAGCAGCAACGCCGCGUGGAGGAUGAAGGUUUUAGGAUUGUAAACUCCUUUUGUUAGAGAAGAUUAUGACGUUAUCUAACGAAUAAGCAACGGCUAACUCCGUGCCAGCAGCCGCGGUAAUACGGAGGGUGCAAGCGUUACUCGGAAUCACUGGGCGUAAAGGGUGCGUAGGCGGGGUAAUAAGUCAGAUGUGAAAUCCUGUAGCUUAACUACAGAACUGCAUUUGAAACUGUUACUCUUGAGUGUGGGAGAGGUAUGUGGAAUGCUUGGUGUAGGGGUAAAAUCCGUAGAGAUCAAGAGGAAUACUCAUUGCGAAGGCGACCUGCUGGAACAUUACUGACGCUGAUGCACGAAAGCGUGGGGAGCAAACAGGAUUAGAUACCCCAGUAGUC
rnacentral:rRNA from 1 species